rnacentral:lncRNA from 1 species
GCAUAUGGUUAUGAAAAGGCCAUAAUGAAAAGCACUCUGGGACACCAGAUAGCAUGGAAUCCUGUGUGGCAAGAUGGGGUGGCAAUGGGCAAAGAAGCAAGGCUGCCCGGAUAUGUUAUAGAUAUGGUUUUGGUAUUCACUUAGUGAAACAUUCAAUCAGGAAGCCAUUUUGGAUAUAACAGGCAACACUUUCUUUCAUGCGAUAAAAGUUCUGACCUAUUGAGUCUUUGGCGUCCUCGCAGUGCUCACAGAUCCUUCACUCUUCUGUUUUGCCGCAUGCUGCACUUCAAACCACUAAUCAUUUUGGAGCCUCCAAAUUGUGGCCAUUUAACAGGUUGCCAGUUAGACCACAUCAAAACAAAGCCUGAAGGAACAUAUCUGUAUCAGAGAAAAUCAAAUAAAGAGCCACAACUCUGCUGAUAUAUAUUAUAUAUAAUAUACUAGGAUGCAGCUGAAGAAUGAAGCUGAGACUUCAAUAUGAACAAAAGCGG